UGCAGAGGUCUCAAGCGUUGUUCGGAUUCAUUGGGCGUAAAGGGCGCGUAGGCGGCGGGGUAAGUCGGGUGUGAAAUCUCAGAGCUCAACUCUGAAACUGCACUCGAUACUGCUCUGCUUGAGGACUGGAGAGGAGACUGGAAUUCACGGUGUAGCAGUGAAAUGCGUAGAUAUCGUGAGGAAGACCAGUGGCGAAGGCGGGUCUCUGGGCAGUUCCUGACGCUGAGGCGCGAAGGCCAGGGGAGCAAACGGG
rnacentral:rRNA from 1 species